rnacentral:rRNA from 1 species
GUCUAUGGCCAUGCCACCCUGAACAAGCCUGAUCCCAUCUGAUCUCGACAGCUAAGCAGGGUCAGGCCUGGUUAGUACUUGGAUGAGAGACCACCUAAGAAGACCAGGUGCUGUAGGCA